GUCUGUGGGCACAGUGGCCCGAGGGCCUCAUCAGGCUCUGCUGGGCAGGGGCCCUGGCCGGCCAGGCCUCUAACCACCUGGGAGGCCUAGGACAGGGCUGGAAGGUGCUCUUGUCCCCCCCCACACUAGCCCUCGGACCCUGAGCCCAUCCUCCUUGGGGACCCUGCCUGGGCUGCCCCCAGAGCAGGAGGGCAGGUCCCCUGUUCAGGCCUGUGGUUCCCUGAGGCCCAGCCUGGGGGCUUCUUCUUACUGGGCUGCCAUGCCUGCAGGCCCACCCUAUUUCUCUGUGGCUGGGCCUUGUCAGGGGCACUGAGAGGGCCUGGAGCCCUGCCCUCUCUAGCGGCCCUGUCAGUGCCCCUGUAGGCUGUCAGCUCCCCCAGCAGACCCAGAAACUAGAGCAGGGCCUGGCCCAGGGCAGAGGCUCGGGCUGUGUUGGGUGAGCAGUGGGAACUGAUGAACGAUGGCCACCAUUGUGGGCUCCGUAGAGUGGGCCAAGCCAGGGCUGCCCCUUUGGUGCCACAGGCCUCCAGAUGGAUGCAAUGCACCCGAGAGCAGACGGGACGGAGCGGGAGGAGUCCAGUGUCCUGGUGGAGCUCGUGUGAGAUCAGUGUGUGACGUUGGUGGAGCCAUCGAAGUCUGUGCUGGUGUUGCCCGGACAGGUGAUGCAGUGGUUCUGGCCAAACUCGGGCUGGGGAAGCAGCCGGUGCGCCCGGGCUCAGGCUGGUACGUGCCCACGGGGCAGGCCUGGCAGGGCUUGAAGCCAUCGGCCGAGAAGAAGCCUGGAGAACACUGGCCUGGAAGUCAGAGGUCAUGGCUCAGGCGGGCAGGAGGGCACCGCAGGGCCGAGGCUGUGGGUGGUCUCAGGCCCUGCUCUUGGCCCUUGCCCGGCCCUGGAAAAGACUCAGGAUGCAGAGAGUAUUCUGGCAUUGAGUGAGGGGCGGGUUUAGCAUCCUCUCAGCUCAGACCCUGGGAUUCUCAGCUUCUACCCAAACACGGAAUCUCCUACCAGUGGCCACUCCCCCAGGGGUGGAGACCACACUCCUGGAGUGGGCGUGGGCCAGAGAGCAGCCGGCAGCCUGGACGGACUCAGGGCUGGGCUCUGAGCCCUUCCGUCACCGUCACCGGGAGAAAGCUGGAGGUCUCCAGUAUCCUGGGACCCCACUCCCCCACCCUCACAGGCACUGUGCUUCUCAGGGUGCUGAGAACCUUCCCCACGGAUUCUCUUGGGUGAAACUCACAGUGGCCUGGGAAGAAACGCUCAUGGGGAGACUGAGCUAGCUUCACAGAUGGAGUUAAGUGGGGAGAGGGAGGUAAAUGCAAAAGCUCUUUGCAAACCUAACUGCAUUUGGUAAAUUGAAAAAGGGCUUUCUAAACUGUCUGUGGGGCACAUAAUAAAGUUCUUUGUGUGGAGCAAAGUUCUUGCUCAAGUAUAAGAUA